UGGAGCCUUAGCCGGACUAAAAUUUUGCAAAGCCUUGCAUUGUUCUCCCUGACACCGGAUCAGCGGACACAAAAAAGCAACUGCCAGCUCAAAAGCAAUCCGGCGAUAGAGCCUGGUGCUAUCUAAUCAAGGGCAAAAGGUCACUUCCGAACAACUGGGCAAUAAAAGAUUAUUUCCAGCCGCAGAACAGAAAGGCCCAGUGGUGGAUGCUUGAAAGAGGGGGGUGGAAGGAGGGCAAAAGGGCUCCCGUCUGUGGGAGGAAGUGCAUUGAAUAAAGCCAGCAGACGGGAACCAUCUGGCUUUGUGCGUGGUCUGUUCUUCAGAGGAGAGAGAAAGCCCCCUCAGCGGGGCCAGUGACUCCAUGCAAUGAUUCAAACUUUUCUUCUCUUUUUUUUUCCCCCCUCUUUCUCUCCCCCAUCAAUUUUAAAGCAGCUUUCCCAGGCACCAAAAAAUUGGAAACGGAAACUUUCCUAACGGGUGGAUGGACGUGUCUUAUCAAGGGCGAGCUGCAAGAUGGAGCCCAUGUUUUAAUUUGGCCAUGAGAGAUGGCUCUUAUCAGGGAGUGAGGACUGUGGAUGACCAGACAGGGCUUUUUUGGUUUGUUUUGUUUGUUUUUAAGGAUGGCUUAAAGAAGAAGCCUCCCAGGGACCCAGCAAACUCAAAUUCCCAACCCAUCCAGUACGCUGGGUUUUGGUGGCAUUUUUGAGCAACAAAUGACAUUUCCAGCAGCAUCACCUUUAUUAUGUAUACUUCAUGCAUUUCCCCCUUUCCUCUCUCUCCCCACUUGUUAUAUGGCCUCACUUGAAUGAAAGCAAGAAAAUAAAAGGGCCAGAUUACAUUCAGUCCAGUUGCCAUGGCCUGUGGGAGGGCAGAAUUGCAAACACUUCAGUACAAAUGGUACAAUCCCUCCUCCCUCCCCUCGGCCCUGCAGUUGUCCUCCAUGUCCUCACUUUCCCUCGCUCCGCGGUUCGCACCGGAGGCCUUUGGCACUCGGCGGCGAGGAGCUGAAUCUAUUCAAGCGCCCAGACACCUCCUCCGUUCAGCAGUGAAUUAACUUUAAGCAUGCAAAUCACACUAAUCCAGAAUUCACAGGAGAGGAAGUCAGGAGGGUUCCCAGUGGUCUGGGAAAUAUUUUUCCUUUCGGGAAGGGAAGGGGAGGGGGGGUCAUUGCACUCUUGUUUAGAGCUCGCUGCAGGUCACUCUGGCUCAUCUCAAAGAAAGUUUAGUUCAGAGGCUCAGCUUGACAUUCAUUGGUUUCUAAAUCGGAACCUCUUGAGCGAUUGUCCCAGCAAUCCCAGGGAUUGGGGCCUGAGCAAAUAGCCCCCGAUUAAUUCUGCUGUAGUAGGGGGGAAACGAAGCAGUUAAAUGUCCAGUUUAUCAACAGAAAACAACAACUGAGCCUUUGUCCUAACAGGGUGCAGGAGGAAACCGUUUUGCAAGGGCUCAUCUGCAUGAGAAACCCGGGCAGCUGGGAAACACCGACAAACGGCCUGGGGGGAGAUCCACGCACACACUGGAGGAGAAAAAUAUUCCAUACAUCGGCCUUCUGUACUGCCACCUUCAAAAAGGAAGCACAACUCGAGAAUUCUGAGUAGCAUCUCCUCUGGAUGGCUGGACUGAGCUGAGGCUUCAGCAGAAACUUGAAGCUGAGACUCCUUAAACAAGAAAUUUCUUCUGGGGUCUGACUUUACAGGCCAUCCCUGCAUUUCCAGCACAGGAGGGCAACAGAGACAGAGCCACGUCCAUCACAUUCUGAGUUCAGUGAGGAUGAGCAACAGAGGGCAUGGGCAUCCUUCCAUCUGCUCCUGCUCUGGAGCAGAGAUACAUCCAGAAUGUCGCAACUCUGCAAUCUUUCUCUCCUUCUGGGAUGGUUUCAAUGGUAAGAUUUACAGCCUAAAAGAUAUCACCGAAGUCAUGGCAGUAAGAGGGGCAGCUACAACAGGAAGGAGGAGGAACAGGAGUAUUUUACUGAGUCCAAGCCUUGCAGAUGGUGAAAACAAGAAGCAAAAGCCAUGCUCACUGUUAAAGCUAAUGAAAAUCUGCAAUCCCCACGGGAAACUCAGAAACACAGGUAUGAAAUGCAGAACUGCUUCUUUUGUUCAUUUGUUUUUUAAUACUUUGGUUACAUGUUCAAAUGCAAUACACGGACAGAGUGCAGGGACUGAAUUUCCUGUGCUGCUGGAUACAGCCCAUUUUUGGUUCAUAGCCCUGCAUCCACAUCUGCAGUUCCAGUAGCCACCUAUAGUGAUGUGCCUUCAGGCAGGGAGGUAAGGAAGGAGAGCACCUCUAGCACAGAGAGGCACAGGCAUCCCAAUUCAGAUACUGUCCAUCUGCCCUAAACCGUUUUUGAUAACUUUUGAUAACAUUGCAAGAGCAUCUCUUUGCAUCUCCUUGGUAGGCAUCCACAGCCCUCCAUUAGCAAGAUAAGAUUAAACAACAGCCACUUCUAUCUUUAUGUGGUAAAACAAGCUUCUGUAUUUAAGAUAAACUUUACAGGACAGGUGGUAUCCUAGAAUGGAAUAUCCCCAAGAAAACAUUUAACUAUCCUACAUAAACGUCAACAAGGUAUGAGUAGAGCGCACCCAAUAAAGGAGAUAGAGGCUACAAUAAAAAGGGGCCCUAAAUCAAAGGGCAGGUUCACACCAGCAAACACUCCGACACACCGGGCCAACUGGAACAGGGCCCUCAGCACUGCUGGCAGCCCAGCAGCUCUUCUGGUGUGGCUUCCCCUGCCUUUGCUUGGAGGUUUGACCCACACCAUCACCUUGAUGGGGUUGUGGCCGGGACCGCAUCCACAAAACUGCACCUGCGGGUUCUCUGUUGGGAGCUCGGUGUGGACUUCUACCUUUAUCAGCUCUU